CCGAAACAGGAAGGCGGUGAAGUUCAGGUGAGCUCUGGUCAGAGCUCGGCAUGGCUCAGAACACACAUGAUGGUGCUUCGGAUAGUCAGGCUGAUGAAAUUAUGCAGUCAGCCAGGCGCUUACUGCAUUUAAUCAGUUCGUCUGAAAGACAACGGUGUGCAGCCAGUGGUGGAGUAACAAAUCAAGUUCUGAGAGAACAGAGGCAUACAGAGAGACCAUCACUUCAAAUGGAAAUGACCAGGUCCUUUCCAGGUGUUUUUAUCAAGGGCAGAGGGAAGAGGUGCUUUCCUGCAGCAAAUCUUGUUCCUGCCAAGAGUUAUGUGAUGCCCUCAAAGUUUUAUUUCCAAAAUUGGGGGCCGUGACUGGUGGGUGGCUGCUAUACAAAUCUGCAGGUGGAUGGGGUAGCCGAAAACUCUCUCUUGUGGCUCCUGAUGAGACUGGCUAUACAGGCAUGGUAUUGAAGUCUGUAAGUCGUGGGGGUAAAAAUCUAUUCAUAGCCCCAAUUCAAGAGGAACUCAGCACAAAUCCCCUACCACUAACUGAUGAAGCAUUCAGUAGCAUGCCAAAAGCCACAUGUCAGAAGUGUGGAGUUGCAGUUCCUCUUCCACUCCUGACAGAACACCUCAAGUCUUGUGAUGUCAUGUAUGUUGGCAGUGAUGAUAACCUGGCUAAUGUGGAAAGCAGUGAGCCUGAAGACAGAAAAUUUAAGAAUUCUUAAUUUUAAGCUUUUGUGAGCAUAUUGUAUAUUAUUAAACAGCAGAAAAACUAUUUUGAAAUUAACACUGUUCUUGGUUGUAACUUCAACAGCACAUAUGCAGGAAUGUCCUGUCUGCACAAAAAUGUUUCCUACUGACUUUAUUGAGGUACACGCUUCUUCAUGUGUGGAAAGGGCAGGAAAAGAGGUGAUGCAUGAAAGCAUUGUAAUUGAGGAAGAGCAAGCAGCAAUGCCUGGACCAUCCGGAACUUGUGCAACUGCUACAGAUGGCUGGUUAACUAUCAGUGACCCCACCAAGGCCAUAUCUCAGUGUGCUGACAGUUUUCUCCGUAUUCAUGAAACGAAGAGCCCCUUACUUCUCAGCAUGGACAUCAGAAAAAGUCCUGCUGAACAGGACAUGGCCUUAAUCUCCUUCUACAAGCGAACUAAUGUGGAAUGGGGACGGCCUCUGAAUUGCAAACUUGAAGGAGAUUGUGCUAUUGGACAGGGUGUAACUCGCUUCUUUUUCUCAAAAUGCAUGGAAAAACUGAAGUCAGGGUUUUGCAUCAAUUUUGCAAACUCAAAUGUUACACGGCUUUUUGAAGGAGAGCCUGGUCAUUUAGUCCCCUCAGCCUCUCACUUUCUUGUGGAAAGUGAUAUGUUCAUGGUAGCGGGGAGAAUGGUAGGCCACUCCUUUCUUCAUGGAGGACCAUGCCUGUUGGGGCUCAGCCCUGCUGUUGUUCAUGUCCUGCUUGGUGGGAGUCCUGAAACUGCAACUGUUACACUACAGGACUGUCCAGACCUGGACAUCAGAGAAACAAUCGAUCUUCUUGAUGGGGGAUCCAUACUGUCAGAUAAGGAUAAACAGCGUGUCCAGGACCUGGCCCAUGCCUGGGACCUCCCUUGCCUAACUGAGAAAAACAGGAGAUGGCUUUUUGAGAAGCUAUUGAUCCAUGCUGUAAUCGGACGUGUCACAAGGCAAAUUAAGCAGCUGAGACGAGGUCUUAAAGAAACCCCAAUGUGGACACUGGUGACCCAAAGACCUGACACAGUGGCCUUGCUUUUUCCGAAAGAGGGAGCAGGAAAUUUCAGCCCUGAGGUACUACUUCAGCGACUCACAUGGCCUCAUGAGGAUAGUGACGAUGACGACGAUUGUUCAGUUGACACCAAAUGCCGCAUAUCAGGCUAUCUUCGACAGUUCAUUGCUAAUGCAACACCAACUGAACUGACCGAACUGGUCAAAUUCUGGACCGGAUGGGAGAUUAUACCACCGAGUCUCUCUGUAGAAGUGGUCGAGGGCAGAUACCCCACAGCCUCCACUUGCUUUGAGACCUUGCGCAUCCCAGGGCAUUACAAGGAUUACACAUCUUUUAAAUGUGACAUCCUGGCCUGUAUUGACAGUUGCCAUACAGGAUUUGGUCUUGUGUGAGUGACAUUUGGCUUGUAUUUACCCUUGUAAGACAAUAUUUGAUGUUAAAAUGUUUGUUUUUAAGCUUGUUAGUUCUGUUAAAAGACCUGUUGUAAACUCUCACACUCAAAGAAAACAAUCAGGAAGUUGUUAAUGUAUACUGAAUAUAUUUUCACACUGUUACUGAGAGUACUUUGCAGUAACCUUUGGCAAUAAAAGGUCAGUUCAUUGAGGUAAACUUUUGACUCUGAACUCCUGUGAAGCCCUCGUAUAACCACUGAAAUGCUAUAUUUUCCCCCCCCAAUUUCCAUCUCAGGUUUGGGAAUAAACCUCAAUGUUCAAAAUAAUGCAUUGCUUUUUCCUGGUUCAUGAUGCUUUCACACGGUGUAAGGGGGACGGACAGCGAAAGAGAAGUGCAAUAAAAAUGAGCAGCCAUUUAUUUUUCUUUGACAAUUUAGUACACUAUAAACUUCAGACUUAAAACCUGUUUGAGUUAAGUAAUCAAUCAUAAAAUGGCUAGACUGUUAAGCAGUUGAUAUACCUUUUCAUUCAUGUUAUUUUAAUAGGUUUACGUAACUUGUCAUAAAUGGAAUUAUUUUGUGAUUUAGGCAUAGGUCUUUUUGAAACAGACCACCCUACUUAAACCAGUGAGAAGAAAAAUGUGAUAACCAAAAUUGUGUUCAUGUAGAAUAAAAUGUCUUUAUAGAAGUUAUAAUUGUUGACCAAUGCAUUAAUACACAAUGUCCUUACAACUGCAUCCGUAAUAAAUUGUUUAUAUGCUGAUUAUACGAGAAAUAGGGGGCCCUUAAGUGUUACUGAGAAAAUAGUAAUAAUUAGGGUCAGCUUUCCCAGUAAAAUUUGGUAUAUAUCUUAAGUUUUGCAGUUUAACAUGUUCUUUGUAAACCAUCUCUGCACUGAUAAGUGUCACCGGACCCCCCCGUCUCAGUUUCCAAGGUGUUACGCUGCUAUAUUAUUGUGCUGGGGGACAUGAGGGAUGUACUACUAACUUUUCUCAGUUUCCUCCAGUUUUAAAUUUUAGAAGGAGAUGAGGUCCUGGUCCACACCUGCGGAGUACCUGGUUUGGGGGGACCGUUGCUGUUCCUGUCCUUGUCCACCUGGUCAUACUUCUGACCUAGUCUAAAAUCAAAUAUACUCUGGAUUUAGCCCAGAGAAAUUUAUUAUUCCAAUUGGACUCUUAAUCUCACCCGGCACUGCCAGAAGAGGACUGGUCACCCCUCUGAGCCUGGGUCCUCUCUAGGUUUCUUCCUAAAAUUCGACCUUCAUAGGGAGUUUUUCCUAGCCCCUGAAUUUCAACACUACUGUUGUUUGCUCCUUGGGGUUUAUGGCCGGGUGUCUCUGUAAAGCACUUUGUGACAACUGCUGUUGUAAAAAGUGCUUUAUAAAUAGAUUGAUAACAUUGAAGCAGGCGUUACGUGAACUAUAAGAGGGUGAAAGCUCUUUUUGUAACGUUCCUUGUGUUACAUUAAGUAAACCAAAGGUGUUUAAAGUGA
ensembl:lncRNA